CAUGAGUCCAAGGUGCUCCUCCAAGGAACCAGUCGAUGCUGCAACACUGGAGUGAGUUUCGGGUCCGGCCGUACCUCCAUGGAAGGCUCUGGCAGAGCACACAACUGCAUCCAGGCUUUAAAGCAAAUGCUGUUUCCUGAGAAUCAGGAAAACAGCUUGGGGCUGCAUAAAACAAUUCUUAUCCUCCCCAACUCUGAAGCACCAGAUGACCAGGAACCCCAGCCACUGGAGUCCUGCCCUUCACUGUGGCAUCAAGCCAGUUCCGAGCCUCUGCCACGGCCUCAUCUGCUUUCAAAGAAGAUUAAAAACAGACUCACUUGGAUCAGGGACCGCAUGUUGGCAAAGUGUGUGUCCAUAGCACCUCCGUUGGGGAAGUUCUGGCUCAUCCUCUUCAUCAGCAGGUGGAAAUCAAUGCCCAGACUCAGGGGAGCAGGAUGCUCGUUGAACAAAGACAUGAAGAUCAGCCCUACCUUGCCCUGUUGUGACCAAAGUGGUGGUUCCAGCUGACCACGAGGCAGAAGACCAU